rnacentral:rRNA from 1 species
GACGAACGCUGGCGGCGUGCCUAAUACAUGCAAGUCGAGCGAAGUCAUAUAGCGGAAGUCUUCGGACGGAAGGUAUAUGUACUUAGCGGCGGACGGGUGAGUAACACGUAGGCAACCUGCCCGUAAGACGGGGAUAACUAGCGGAAACGUUAGCUAAUACCGGAUAGACCUCUUUGGCGCAUGCGAGAGAGGGGAAAGGCGGAGCAAUCUGCCGCUUACGGAUGGGCCUGCGGCGCAUUAGCUAGUUGGAGAGGUAACGGCUCCCCAAGGCAACGAUGCGUAGCCGACCUGAGAGGGUGAUCGGCCACACUGGGACUGAGACACGGCCCAGACUCCUACGGGUGGCAG